rnacentral:lncRNA from 1 species
UCACAGUUAUACUAUCAUUGAGCUUAGCAGACUAUUAAAUCAUGAACGAGAUCAUAUUAUUCCUGAUUUCGACUUAACGUACUACUACUAAAUCCCUGACUUCACAUGUAAACUGGACCAGAUUAAUCAUUACUAAGCACCACACUCAAUAUUAACUCCAAGGACUCAUAAGCUCUUAACUAAUUCAUAAUACUAGAGCUAGCAUAAAGAAAAUGGACUAAGAGAAUUCAACAGCAUCAAUUCAUUACAGCCCAGAAAGUCCAAUCACAGUCCAUAUUAUUUACAGUAAAUUACUACAAGGAAACAACCCAAAUCUAUAACAAAAUAAAACAUCGCUAUUUAUUCAUCUUCCAUUUGUGAUGUAUAGUAAAAGGAACUCAGGAUGGGUACCUGGAAUUACAACAAGUAAACAUCAAUGAGUAUGUAGGCAAGAAGCAAUAAUAACAAUAAAUCCAACUCAACAGAUGCAGCAAUAAAAACCAAGCUGGAAACCUAGAAGCGAAACAAUGGAAUUUCUCAAAUAGACCAGGAUUCAAGCAGCCUCAAAUAGAUUCAAAUAACCCCAACUUAAAUCAUUUUACACUUUUGAAAUCUUGAAAUGGACUGGACAAUUUCAAAUAACAAUUAAUGCUAAUAGAUCUGCCUAUUUUUGUUUUUUCAAUCUUCAAGAGUUUUUCCUUAGAAUCAGAUCUCCUAUUUUGUAUUUUUUGUUCUUUCACUUGUGACAAAUUCAGGAGAAUUGUUCUGCCAGGUUCCACCGUCUUUAGGCCAAGAAGCAAAUGCCUUUAUAGGCAAGUAAACUAAGGCAAACUUCAGCUCUUAUUUUUACACUUAGUCCUUUUAGUUUUAUUUUAGACAAUUAGUCCCUCAAUUCAUGACUUGUUAUCCAAGGAAUGGUACCAAGAAUUAUAAAUUACUAUUCGUGCCUCGACCUAUAAGCUUCCAGAUCAAUUGCACUAAAGAUUACCUAGCUAGAGUUUCUAAACUACCCUCAAGACUUCUGAAAAUUAUUUUGAUGAACCAACCCCAUGAAAUUAAAUCAAAUGGCCUAAACGGGUAUGACCCUGGGCUGAAAUAACUCAAAAAUAACCCAAAUUGAUUCUGAUCCUAAUACAUGAACCCUAAAACCAAAUUGAAGCUAAUACUAUGGACCAUUAAUCAAAGAGAGAAAACCAAUUAAACCAAAUGGAACAUGCUACAAUUAGUACUCUCAAACCUAAAAUCUUAAGGAGAUAAGCAGGCGAUAAAUCCAGGUACAACUAAUUAAGUACAAAGGAAAAUUAAUUCAAACUAGUCGCAAUUCAACAACAAGACUCUAUAACUUGACCAAAAUCAUGAAGUUCAAUUCCAAACCAAGAAGACUGACAAAUUUAUUCAACUUAUGACCUUCGACCCAAUAGGAUUUGGCAUGAAAGCCCAAUUAACAAAAACGACAAAAAUACACUUGACUAAAACAAAAUAAAACCUAACCUAAACCACGAAAUCACAUACAAACAACCAAAUAUACAGAAAUGAUAUGAAGGAGAAGGAAAAUAAAGAGUAAACGGGAUACUAGCUUAGGGUUCCACUUUGAAGCUUGAAUUCGAAUAGGGUCCUUCAUGUAUUGUGUUGAAAUUUCUGAAACCCCUAGAUCGAGAUUUGGGCAGUUGUGGGGGUAUUCCAUGAACUGUGGAUGAGGAUAUGGAGUAAGGGAAGGUCAGGGGUCCACUGGUGAUAUUUUGGCAGUCCCUUUUGAAUCGAUAUUCGAAGGGUUUAGGUAUCGUUUGAAGGGAGAUGAUAGUGGAUUCAUGGUAAGGAUGACUAGGGGAACCUAUGAUGUUACUUUGGGUGGUGGCGGUGCCGUGCACGUUGGCGGCGGCGCCUAGGGAUUGGAACAUUCGAAGAGUUCCAGUGAUUUUCAAGGAAAACCAAUGGUGGAAUAGGCAUGAGGAGGACAAGGUGGAGCUUUGGUUGUAUUUUGGAGGCAGUUGGAGCUUCGCUGCUGGAGGAGACAAUUUUCGGUGGCGGUUUUAUGUGGAAGGCGGUGAGGGAUUAGGUACGAGGAAGAAAGAGUCGGUCUCUAGGGUUUCGAAGGGUUUUGGACAGUUUUAUACGGAGUCCAUUAGAUAAUCAGGAUCGUUGGAUUAGAGCAGAUCGAUGGC